rnacentral:rRNA from 1 species
CCUACGGGAGGCAGCAGUGAGGAAUAUUGGUCAAUGGGCGUAAGCCUGAACCAGCCAAGUAGCGUGAGGGAAGACUGCCCUAUGGGUUGUAAACCUCUUUUAUAAAGGAAUAAAACGAGGCACGUGUGCCUUUUUGCAUGUACUUUAUGAAUAAGGAUCGGCUAACUCCGUGCCAGCAGCCGCGGUAAUACGGAGGAUCCGAGCGUUAUCCGGAUUUAUUGGGUUUAAAGGGAGCGUAGAUGGGUUGUUAAGUCAGUUGUGAAAGUUUGCGGCUCAACCGUAAAAUUGCAAUUGAUACUGGCAGCCUUGAGUACAGUUGAGGUAGGCGGAAUUCGUGGUGUAGCGGUGAAAUGCUUAGAUAUCACGAAGAACCCCGAUUGCGAAGGCAGCUUACUAAACUGUGACUGACAUUGAUGCUCGAAAGUGUGGGUAUCAAACAGGAUUAGAUACCCCUGUAGUC